rnacentral:rRNA from 1 species
GACGAACGCUGGCGGCGUGCUUAACACAUGCAAGUCGAACGGAAAGGCCCUGCUUUUGUGGGGUGCUCGAGUGGCGAACGGGUGAGUAACACGUGAGUAACCUGCCCUUGACUUUGGGAUAACUUCAGGAAACUGGGGCUAAUACCGGAUAGGAGCUCCUGCUGCAUGGUGGGGGUUGGAAAGUUUCGGCGGUUGGGGAUGGACUCGCGGCUUAUCAGCUUGUGGGUGGGGUAGUGGCUUACCAAGGCUUUGACGGGUAGCCGGCCUGAGAGGGUGACCGGCCACAUUGGGACUGAGAUACGGCCCAGACUCCUACGGGAGGCAGCAGUGGGGAAUAUUGCACAGUGGGCGGAAGCCUGAUGCGGCAACGCCGCGUGCGGGAUGACGGCCUUCGGGUUGUAAACCGCUUUCGCCUGUGACGAAGCGUGAGUGACGGUAAUGGGUAAAGAAGCACCGGCUAACUACGUG